AUAAUCUCCACUUCUGAGCUGCCAAUUUAAGUUUUAGAAAGCUGAUUGCCCCUUGAACCAGCCAACGGAUACAAGAGAUCCCAUGAGGAGAUGUACAUAGGCAGACUGGCAGUUUGAUCAGGCAUAGCCACAGUUUGUUUCCUGAAGUAUCUGAAACAAGUUGAAACGAGCGAGUAGGAGAAGAGGGCAGAGGGCCCAAACGAGCAGGGUAGACCUCCAAUUCACUGGGCUGUCAUACAU
rnacentral:lncRNA from 1 species